GACGAACGCUGGCGGCGUGCCUAAUACAUGCAAGUAGAACGCACAGUUUAUACCGUAGCUUGCUACACCAUAGACUGUGAGUUGCGAACGGGUGAGUAACGCGUAGGUAACCUGCCUGGUAGCGGGGGAUAACUAUUGGAAACGAUAGCUAAUACCGCAUAAUAUUGAUUAUUGCAUGAUAAUUGAUUGGAAGAUGCUAUUGCAUCACUACCAGAUGGACCUGCGUUGUAUUAGCUAGUAGGUGAGGUAACGGCUCACCUAGGCGACGAUACAUAGCCGACCUGAGAGGGUGAUCGGCCACACUGGGACUGAGACACGGCCCAGACUCCUACGGGAGGCAGCAGUAGGGAAUCUUCGGCAAUGGACGAAAGUCUGACCGAGCAACGCCGCGUGAGUGAAGAAGGUUUUCGGAUCGUAAAGCUCUGUUGUAAGAGAAGAACGGGUGUGAGAGUGGAAAGUUCACACUGUGACGGUAUCUUACCAGAAAGGGACGGCUAACUACGUG
rnacentral:rRNA from 1 species